GGAGGAGGAGGCGGAGGCGGCUUCCCUCUCUCUCUCUCUCUCUCUCUCUCUCUCGGCGGCGCUUGGUGAAGGUUCUGCGCGCGAGCGAAGGCGAGGCUCCAACCUGGCCAGCCAGGCAGGCGGCUUACAUAACUGGACGGGAAAAGGGCGCGCCGAGGGGGGCCCAACACUGGGGGGGGGUCGUGCGUGCAUGACGUCACACACGCCCCCCCCCGCCGGGCAAGGCCUCCCUGCGAGGGGCGCCCCAGCGCCUGCCGCCCCCCCCCGGCCCCCUCAGUCUCGGAGGGCGCAGCGCCCCGUUUCGAAAUGCGGAGGGGGCUGGAGCCCCCUUCUGGCGCCCCUGCCGCUCACCUGGCAGGGUUGCUUUCAAGGAGAUACCUACAAAUUCACGUGCAUUUCGGAAGUACUGCGCAGGUAACCCUAACGGGAGAACCAGCCUUGGCAUUAGCUUUACCUAAACUCCAGCAUGGCUGCACCUCCCUCCUUCAAACAUCAAGACAAUAAUAUUGGCUUAUCUUUAAGAGGAUCCAUGAUGAUUCCCUGCCAACUCGUCUGGGUUGCCCUGUGGACAAACGUCGGCUCCCUCGGCCAGUAAAGCGAGAUGAGUGCUGCAAUCCCAGAGCCAUCCGUGACUGGACUUAACUGUCAGGAGUCCUUGACCUUGACCUUUAAAGGACCACCGCGGGGGGCAUUACUAUUGAAAGUGGGUGGGGAGGUUUAUGUAGCAUAAAGCUUCAAAACAAUCCCCUCACCCACUGAUUUGUAGGCACUUGUGGUCUAUCACACUUGUGGGAAUACAGGAAAAUAUACAAUCAGCACUUUGUAACAGUUGUGGGAUUUUGAUUUUUCACCACAACGUUAAGAACUAUGGCAUUAUUUUGAUCUUAUAGAUGGAGCUGCAAUUCCCCUCGAAGACCAUGUCUGCAGCUUGAAGUGCUCUUGAGCUUGUUGCUUGUAGCAGUGGCUCGGACCGCAUUCUAUCAUCUCAGGCUUGUACAUCCCCUGUGGCCACCAGCUGCUGCCCUAACUUGGGUGGCAUAACCUGACCUUGAUCACCUCUGCUCUGUUAUUUUCAACUGGAUUAUUGCAAUUUGAACUAACUGGGGCUGCUUCUAAAGAUGGCUAAGAACCUUCAGCUGUUGCAGCAGGUUGCAGACUGGACUGGAUAUGUGACACCAAUUUUGGGUCAAUUGCAUUGGCAUUUAUUAAUAUUUAAGACCUUAAAUGGUUUGGGACCAGGUUACCUAAAGGACAGCCUGCACAUGUCUGACUCUGCCCAUAAUCUAAGUUCUGCUUGGAUAACUCUCUGGAUAACACAGAAGAGUGUAUGAGACUUUGUACCAGCUACAACAGUUUAACAUCAAAGCACUAGAAACAUCUGUUGGGUAUAUAAAUUGAAACAGACUAGCUAAAACAAAAUUUAAUACCAUUCCAAAUAAUGAAAACGUAGAAUACAAAUCAGUGUUACCGUAAGCCCGGAUGUAUUGCUAUUAGAAUAUAUUCUAAGACACACAAAUUUCCAAGAGGAAAUUUAAAUAAAUUAUUAUUUAGAUAAUAGAUUUCUAAUAGGAAAUUAACCAUCAGAUUUGCUAAUUUAAGAAAAGUGGGAGCAUAAAUUUAAGGAUUUAAAAGAUAACAGAAGAAUGGUAACCGGAAUGAGAUAGCUCAAAUUGUGGAAGGAUGGUUACCACCAUGGUUUCAAUAUUUCCAGCAAAGGAGUAUUGCUUUUGGCAGCUAUAAGUCCUACAUGGAUGAUAAUGAAGAUGACAGCAUGAGCAUGGGAAGUGCUAAUAAAAAUAAUAAGUUGAAGGGUCUGCUAGCAAAAGAACCCCAACCCCCCUGUGGGCUGUUGGUGGAGUCAGUAGCCAGGUUAAGGUGGGGAGCGACAACUGGAUUUCACCAUCUAAGACUCAAGACAACCCUGGAUGUAGUGUUUUGUGAGAUAUCACCGAGUUGAUCAAUAUGUUAAGCUCAAUUUAAACUUUUGCUGUUGGUAUUUACGGUAAGUCCCAUCAGGCUGAAUGGAAUGUAUAAAGAUUCUAGGUUCGAAUGCUAGACGUGUUUUGCAAUAAACAUGCAUCUAACACAUAUCUGGUGUGAUUGCCAGUGUACCUCUGAAUUUUGGAGAUGAGUCUUGCAUCGCAUAAUGUGAGACUCUAUCCUAUGUUGAUUUUAUUUAAUUGGAUCAAUGAGAAGGUAUCUGCAGAAUCAGUAAAGAUUUUCUUGACUGCAGCAGUGGAAAGAUUCUCCAACCAUAUGGGAAUGGCUAAGGAAGUGUCUUGCAUGAGCAGAAAUGGACAAAUUGACCUAUUUGAUUUAUAAGAGGAAUGAUAUGUUCUAUAAUUCAAAUUUACAAAACAUAAUUUGGGCAUUUUUUAUAUAUUGCGAUGCUGAUUUUAGUAAUAUCAUAUUUAUUCGUGUAAAUUGUUAUUUCUGGGUAAAUCAUGAUUUUAUAAAUAAAGACAUAUUUGUUUUGAAAAAGAUCUGAUUCUUAGGUGGUAUUGGUUAUGCUGGUGAGCAUAUGGGACAGGGUCUUAACUCUUCCAGUUAAUGUUUGCUUGGCCCCUUCAGUUCUAGAAUUCAAUAAAACCUUAAACAUUUUUUGUUGUUGCCUUGCCUUUACAGAGCUUAGGUCAGUGAACAUGUGUAUUGCCACAGGUUCUUCAUCUCUGGCUUAGAGGCUUCUAGCAUUAGCAUAUUAUAAGCCACUGGAAACAGCGACUCCCUCCAGCUACCUCUGGCACAUGCCUUUUAUGCUAUGAAGCUUUGGUCUCUUUGAACUUCUUGUAACAUAGCCUGCAUUUUCAUUGCUGAAUUCUUCCCCUCUCUCAUUUGGAAGUUGCAUGUUCCUGUGGUCUGGUGACUAGAAGUACCACACGCAUGCUGUGACACACUGCUCAGAUUUAAGAGUGUGCAUGUCAAGCAAACCAUUUUCACUUGUUUCAAGUCCAUGUUUCAUAAUCAAAUUACUUUUGAACUUUCCACAAAUACAGAGACUCUUAGUGAGGUCUGCCUCGAGCAGUUUGCCAGGCCAAAAGAUUUUUCCAAGAACACUGAUUGACAGGAUGCUCCUCAGAUCCUGCUAUGAGUAGUCUGCUGCUAUGCCAAGAGUCACACCAAUCCUGAUUCCCAGUGCUCUCUUAGUAGUAAGGAAAACAUUCACUGCAGAACAAAGGCCACCAUUGCAGUACCAGCAGACUGCGCCACCACAUUUCUGGAAACUCCCAACACCACCCACUAAUAUAAUGUUGUUUACGGGGGCAUCAUAGUAGCCAUGUGCAGAAAACACCCAUCAAUAUAUACUAUGGUGGCCUAAUGGACCCAGGACUUUACCUAACCCAGUUCUCACAUGGCAUAUAACCAGGCAGCCAGGAAAGUAUCAGUGCUACUCUUUGCGCAAACUACCACAGUGCUGCAGGUAGGAGGCCUGCAUGAAGAACUCCAGUUUUGCAGGAGAAAAGUAUGAGACUCGCUGCCCAAACCACACAGUGCUGCCUUGCCCCACAACUGGGCAGAUGUUCCAUUUAUAUAAUCAUAGAAGUGUAGAGUUGGAAUGCGUUUCUGGUUCUUCGAAGAGGAAAGCAAUUUUUCUCCCCUGGAUUUUCCAUAUGAUAAGAGUUGCCAGAUCUCCAAGA